rnacentral:rRNA from 1 species
CAGCCGCCGCGGUAACACAGAGGAUGCAAGCGUUAUCCGGAAUGAUUGGGCGUAAAGCGUGCGCAGGCGGUUUGUUAAGACAGAUGUGAAAUCCCCGGGCUCAACCUGGGAACUGCAUUUGUGACUGGCAGGCUAGAGUAUGGCAGAGGGGGGUGGAAUUCCGCGUGUAGCAGUGAAAUGCGUAGAUAUUCGGAAGAACACCAGUGGCGAAGGCGACUCGCUGGACAAGUAUUGACGCUGAGGUGCGAAAGCGUGGGGAGCAAACAGGAUUAGAUACCCGAGUAGUCCCUGUCUCUUAUAC